rnacentral:lncRNA from 1 species
GAAUGCCCCAACUCCCCUAGCUCUAUGUUACGAUCCCCCUCCUCGUUAAGCAAGUCGCGAAAGUACGCCUGCCACCUUUGCUUAACUUGAGACUCCCCCAUCAGAACUCUACCAUCCUCGCCCUUGAUGCACCUAACUUGGUCAAGAUCACGUGUCUUCCUUUCCCUUGCUUUAGCUAACCGAAAUAACUUUCUUUCCCCGCCUCUCUCCCCUAGUUCCUCGUACAUGCGACCAAACGCCGCGUUUUUAGCUUCCGUAACCGCCAGCUUUGCUUCUUUCCUCGCC